rnacentral:misc_RNA from 1 species
AGUAGAUUACUCAUCUUCACCUGAAAAUACAGUAAAGUCAGUAAUAUGAUAUCUCAUUGGAUAUGGAUUCUCUCUGUCAAUGGCAUUUAAAUAAGGUUUAUGGAACUCUAGGUGCACAAUCUACCUUAAACCAAGCCCAUAAAGCUUCUAAAUAAUAUCUUUUACUACUUUCCAUAGUCACUUGAGGAGCUUGUGGUGCCACAGGUACCUAAGCCACAGGUGAUGGUACCUGCUUAGGUACCUGAAGUACUAGUGCGAUCGAUUGAGGUACUUGCAUCUUGGAGAUGCUAAUUCCUCUAUAACUGCUAUCCCCUAACUGAAAGUCACGUAUGACAUCUACAUUUGCUAGGGCAUUAGUACCACUUGAGGACCUGUAUUUGCCUUUGGAUCAGAAAUAUCUGGGUGAGUUACAAGGUUAGUAUUAUUAAGAAUUUGGGUAUCAGCAAUGGUCUUGUCUCUGGGGCAGUUGGUUUGUACUAAUGCUCUAUACUAGUUAGUCACUUGUUCAUCUCUUUUGUAAGGUAGCUAAUACUAUUUUUCAUUCUGAGCAUGGGUUCCAAUUGUUCCACCCUAGAGAGUUCUUGGUUGAGGUUGCCCCUUGAGCUUUAUAGGGCUUUUCAAUAUAGAAUCAAAGUCCUAUGGCCUAGUGAACUAGUCAUCGGACAAUGUAAGUUUUGAAAAAUUUAACUUUUCAAUUAAAAGUUGAAUUGUAUCAGCAAGUUUGUUCAAUAUUUGAUCACUUUUAUCUAUUUGCUUAUUUAAGUCUUUUUUCAAAACCUCAACGAUGGAUGGUCUAUUGGUUUCUUCAAUAAUAGUAACAGAAACUAACUUGUCUAGUCUCUAUUUUGGAUCAAUGACUAAGGUAUGUGGAGUCAUUGUUGGCCCGAAAUUCUGAACCUCUUCUCCCUGGGGAACUAGUUCUUUUUUCAAACUAUUCCACCAUUUGGGGAACUCGAACAUUGAGUCCCUCUAUGUUCUAAGACAUGGUAAUGCCUUUGCCUAGUAGGUUUCUUAUUUUUGGAGCCAUUGGAAACCAUGUAAAGACCAAAUGCUGAACAAAAAGUGAGAUUUGUUCUAAAAAUUUUUAGUAAUUUUUUUGUUAAGAACAUUAGAAAUUUGUGUUGAAAUAGUGAGAGUUGAUCUUCGUCUCACCCAGUGUACCUAAAAUUGUUUGCAAUAUUUGGUUAAGAACAAUGGUGUAUAGUGCAGAAAGUUGAUGUGAAAUUAUAUAGAAUUUGUCCUCCUAGGCAUGUCAAAGAAUUGUUUGGUAUAAAAAUAAUUUAGUUGAGAAACAUUUUAAAAAUUUGAGCAUGCUAAAUACUGAGUGUAUCAAUUAAUAUACAUUUCUAACUUCUAAAUCAAAUGAUUAUAGGAAUUAGUUACACUGAAUGCAACUUUGCCUUUGAUUCAAAAUAAACUGAUAACUGGAAAUGAAAUUAGAGAAAAAAUUGUAUUGGUUGAUUAAAG